UACACUUCUCAAAAUCAAAAUCAAAAUCAGAUUUUCCCUCAUAUCUCUCUCUUAUAAAUUGGACUUUUCCCGAGUGUUCUACGUUCUCUCUGCUCUCUAGUCUCUCUAGUCUCUAGUGAUUUCAAAAUCUCUUAUUUUUAUUUUGAAACAAACAAAUCCCUUUACUCCUUAACACUCAGCCUCUCAGACUCGGCUUCCUAGUCUCAGAUCAGGAGUUGAAAUCCUAGGCUUUUUGCUUCCUUUUCAAGGUUAAAUUCCUGAUAGCUGAGAGUUCUUUGAGGUUAUGGAACCCUCAAGUGAUGCAUCCCCUUCCCAAGCAACACCUACUGCCACAACUGAACCUGUUGCCCAAGCUGCCCAAGCUGUACCUACUGCCCAUGCUGAGGUUCCCCCACUUCCACCUAAAGGUAAAGGCAAUGUCUGUACUAAUAGGAAAAAGUCUAUUGCCUGGAACCAUUUUGAAAAAGUAGAUAUUGGUGAUGGUCAUUU